CAUCUCCCAGGGUCACACCUGGAGAGUUUCCAGUACUCUGCCAGUCUCAAAUACAGGAGGCAGAGACAGGCAGAGGCAUAUCCAUUCCAUUCCUAGCUUGGGCGGUACCUAGCAAGUGGAAGGCAAUCGGCUACAAGC